ACGAACGCUGGCGGCGUGCCUAAUACAUGCAAGUCGAACGCUUCUUUCCUCCCGAGUGCUUGCACUCAAUUGGAAAGGGGAGUGGCGGACGGGUGAGUAACACGUGGGUAACCUACCCAUCAGAGGGGGAUAACACUUGGAAACAGGUGCUAAUACCGCAUAACAGUUUAUGCCGCAUGGCAUAAGAGUGAAGGGCGCUUUCGGGUGUCGCUGAUGGAUGGACCCGCGGUGCAUUAGCUAGUUGGUGAGGUAACGGCUCACCAAGGCCACGAUGCAUAGCCGACCUGAGAGGGUGAUCGGCCACACUGGGACUGAGACACGGCCCAGACUCCUACGGGAGGCAGCAGUAGGGAAUCUUCGGCAAUGGACGAAAGUCUGACCGAGCAACGCCGCGUGAGUGAAGAAGGUUUUCGGAUCGUAAAACUCUGUUGUUAGAGAAGAACAAGGACGUUAGUAACUGAACGUCCCCUGACGGUAUCUAACCAGAAAGCCACGGCUAACUACGUG
rnacentral:rRNA from 1 species